GAAACCCUGACGCAGCAACGCCGCGUGGGUGAUGAAGGCCUUCGGGUCGUAAAGCCCUGUCAGGUGGGAAGAACACUAUGAGGUGAAGAGCCGAGUAGUUUGACGGUACCAUCGGAGGAAGCACCGGCCAACUCCGUGCCAGCAGCCGCGGUAAUACGGAGGGUGCAAGCGUUGUUCGGAAUCACUGGGCGUAAAGGGCGUGUAGGCGGUUAAUCAAGUCAGAUGUGAAAGCCCUGGGCUUAACUCAGGAAGUGCAUCUGAGACUGGUUAACUAGAGUACAGGAGAGGAAGGUGGAAUUCCUGGUGUAGGGGUGAAAUUCGUAGAUAUCGGGAAGAACACCGGUGGCGAAGGCGGCCUUCUGGCCUGAUACUGACGCUGAGACGCGAAAGCGUGGGGAGCAAACAGGAUUAGAUACCCUGGUAGUCCACGCUGUAAACGUUGGGCACUAGGUGUGGGAGGUAUUUAUUCCUUCUGUGCCGAAGCUAACGCAUUAAGUGCCCCGCCUG
rnacentral:rRNA from 1 species